rnacentral:rRNA from 1 species
AACAGGAUUAGAUACCCUGGUAGUCCACGCCGUAAACGAUGCUAACUCGUUUUUGGGCUUUAGGGUUCAGAGACUAAGCGAAAGUGAUAAGUUAGCCACCUGGGGAGUACGUUCGCAAGAAUGAAACUCAAAGGAAUUGACGGGGGCCCGCACAAGCGGUGGAUUAUGUGGUUUAAUUCGAUGAUACGCGAGGAACCUUACCAAGGCUUAAAUGGGAAUUGACAGUUUCAGAAAUGAGAUUUUCUUCGGACAAUUUUCAAGGUGCUGCAUGGUUGUCGUCAGCUCGUGCCGUGAGGUGUUAGGUUAAGUCCUGCAACGAGCGCAACCCCUGUCACUAGUUGCCAUCAUUAAGUUGGGGACUCUAGUGAGACUGCCGGUGAUAAACCGGAGGAAGGUGGGGAUGACGUCAAGUCAUCAUGGCCCUUACGAGUAGGGCUACACACGUGCUACAAUGGCGCAUACAAAGAGAAGCGACCUCGCGAGAGCAAGCGGACCUCAUAAAGUGCGUCGUAGUCCGGAUCGGAGUCUGCAACUCGACUCCGUGAAGUCGGAAUCGCUAGUAAUCGUGGAUCAGAAUGCCACGGUGAAUACGUUCCCGGGCCUUGUACACACCGCCCGUCACACCAUGGGAGUGGGUUGCAAAAGAAGUAGGUAGCUUAACCUCCGGGAGGGCGCUUACCACUUUGUGAUUCAUGACUGGGGUGAAGUCGUAACAAGGUA